UGGGAAAUGUCAGGAGCUCCUCUUAGAAGAAUUGACCCAAAUGAAUACUCUCCAGAAAAACAUGAAUCAGCAAUGAGAUUGCAAGCUCUCAUCCUGUUCCUCAGACCAACUACCCAGUACCUUCAUGGACGUAUGUCCCUGCAAGCCUACUGACACCCAAUUUCUGGCACUGGGGAGACUUGGGAGCAGAGUACCAGAAACUCAUCCUCUACGACUGAAAGAAGGAGCUGGAGCUGGCCUUGUCUCCGUUUCAAAAAUAACUCAAUUAUAUCAUUAAAUAG